rnacentral:rRNA from 1 species
GGAGUUAGCCGGUGCUUCUUCUGUGAGUGAUGUCCUUCCUGCCGGUUAUUGACCCGCAGGCCUUCUUCCUCACUGAAAGUGCUUUACAACCCGAAGGCCUUCUUCACACACGCGGCAUGGCUGGAUCAGGGUUGCCCCCAUUGUCCAAUAUUCCCCACUGCUGCCUCCCGUAGGAGUCUGGGCCGUGUCUCAGUCCCAGUGUGGCUGAUCAUCCUCUCAGACCAGCUACGGAUCGUCGCCUUGGUGAGCCGUUACCUCACCAACCAGCUAAUCCGACAUAGGCUCAUCCGAUAGCGCGAGGCCCGAAGGUCCCCCGCUUUCCCCCGUAGGGCGUAUGCGGUAUUAGCCUGGGUUUCCCCAGGUUAUCCCCCACUACCGGGCAGAUUCCUAUGCAUUACUCACCCGUCCGCCGCUCGCCACCAGGGAGCAAGCUCCCCGUGCUGCCGCUCGACUUGCAUGUGUUAGGCCUGCCGCCAGCGUUCAAUCUGAGCCAAGAUCAAAUUCUGA